AUUGAACGCUGGCGGCAUGCUUUACACAUGCAAGUCGAACGGUAACAGGCCGCAAGGUGCUGACGAGUGGCGAACGGGUGAGUAAUGCAUCGGAGCGUGCCCAGUCGUGGGGGAUAACUACUCGAAAGAGUAGCUAAUACCGCAUACGAUCUAUGGAUGAAAGCGGGGGACCGUAAGGCCUCGCGCGAUUGGAGCGGCCGAUGUCAGAUUAGGUAGUUGGUGGGGUAAAGGCUCACCAAGCCAACGAUCUGUAGCUGGUCUGAGAGGACGACCAGCCACACUGGGACUGAGACACGGCCCAGACUCCUACGGGAGGCAGCAGUGGGGAAUUUUGGACAAUGGGCGCAAGCCUGAUCCAGCAAUGCCGCGUGCAGGAAGAAGGCCUUCGGGUUGUAAACUGCUUUUGUACGGAACGAAACGGCUCUGGUUAAUACCUGGGGCUAAUGACGGUACCGUAAGAAUAAGCACCGGCUAACUACGUG
rnacentral:rRNA from 1 species